rnacentral:rRNA from 1 species
ACAGCAGCAGCCACGGUAAUACGAAGGGGGCUAGCGUUGUUCGGAUUUACUGGGCGUAAAGCGCACGUAGGCGGACUUUUAAGUCAGGGGUGAAAUCCCGGGGCUCAACCCCGGAACUGCCUUUGAUACUGGGAGUCUUGAGUUCGAGAGAGGUGAGUGGAAUUGCGAGUGUAGAGGUGAAAUUCGUAGAUAUUCGCAGGAACACCAGUGGCGAAGGCGGCUCACUGGCUCGAUACUGACGCUGAGGUGCGAAAGCGUGGGGAGCAAACAGGAUUAGAUACCCCCGUAGUCCCUGUCUCUUAUAC